rnacentral:rRNA from 1 species
AAAACAUCGCCUCCCGCAAAAAUCAACGUAUAGGAGGUCCUGCCUGCCCAGUGACUUAGUUAAACGGCCGCGGUAUCUUGACCGUGCAAAGGUAGCGCAAUCACUUGUCUUUUAAAUGAAGACCUGUAUGAAUGGCAAGACGAGGGCUUAACUGUCUCCCCCUUCUAGUCAGUGAAAUUGAUCUGCCCGUGCAGAAGCGGACAUAAACAUACAAGACGAGAAGACCCUUUGGAGCUUAAGACACCAGGACCACCUACGUCAAAAACUUAGCCUAAACUAAUCUAAACAAAGUAGCAUCUGGUCCCCGUCUUCGGUUGGGGCGACCGCGGGGGAAAAUAAAGCCCCCACGUGGAAUGGGAAAUACCCUAAAACCAAGAGAGACAUCUCCAAGAAACAGAACAUCUGACCAAAAAGAUCCGGCCACUACGGCCGAUCAACGGACCAAGUUACCCUAGGGAUAACAGCGCAAUCCUCUUCCAGAGUCCAUAUCGACAAGGGGGUUUACGACCUCGAUGUUGGAUCAGGACAUCCUAAUGGUGCAGCCGCUAUUAAGGGUUCGUUUGUUCAACGAUUAAAGUCCUACGUGAUCU